GUGUACCUACGGGGGGCAGCAGUGGGGAAUAUUGGGCAAUGGGCGCAAGCCUGACCCAGCAACGCCGCGUGAAGGAAGAAGGCUUUCGGGUUGUAAACUUCUUUUCUCAGGGACGAAGAAAGUGACGGUACCUGAGGAAUAAGCCACGGCUAACUACGUGCCAGCAGCCGCGGUAAUACGUAGGUGGCAAGCGUUAUCCGGAUUUACUGGGUGUAAAGGGCGUGUAGGCGGGACUGCAAGUCAGAUGUGAAAACCACGGGCU
rnacentral:rRNA from 1 species